AUUGAACGCUGGCGGCAGGCCUAACACAUGCAAGUCGAGCGAGCGGAGGACGGGUGAGUAAUGCCUGGGACUUGCCCAGUCGAGGGGGAUAACAGUUGGAAACGACUGCUAAUACCGACUACGAUUGGCUUGCCCAGGUGGGAUUGGCUCGUUGGGCAGGUAAUGGCUCACCAAGGCGACGAUCCCUAGCUGGUCUGAGCGGAUGAGCAGCCACACUGGAACGGGGACGCGGGCAAGACGCCUACGUGAGGCAGCAGUGGGGAAUAGUGGACAAUGGGGGAGAACCUGGUGCAGCCAGGCCACGUGUGAGAAGAAAGCCUUGGGGUUGUAAAGCACUUGCAGCGAGGAGGCGUUACUCGCAGAAGAAGCACCGGCUAACUCCGUGCCAGCAGCCGCGGUAAUUC
rnacentral:rRNA from 1 species